rnacentral:rRNA from 1 species
CCUACGGGGGGCAGCAGUGGGGAAUAUUGGGCAAUGGGCGCAAGUCUGACCCAGCAACGCCGCGUGAAGGAAGAAGGCUUUCGGGUUGUAAAGUUCUUUUCUCAGGGACGAAGAAGGUGACGGUACCUGAGGAAUAAGCCACGGCUAACUACGUGCCAGCAGCCGCGGUAAUACGUAGGUGGCAAGCGUUAUCCGGAUUUAUUGGGUGUAAAGGGCGUGUAGGCGGGCGGGAAAGUUGGAUGUGAAAACUCAGGGCUCAACCCCGAGCCGGCAUUGAAAACUGUGGGUCUUGAGUGCUAGAUGGGAAAUCGGAAUUCCUGGGGUAGCGGUGGAAGGCGUAGA